AUGGCGCAAAGCCUCACCGGCGGCGCCACCCCCUUCUGCUGCUACCCUCACCCGCCCAGCUACGCCGCCGGGCGAGCUACCCCGACCGCUCCCCCUUCCACCCGCCGCCGCGUGGUCGCCUCGGCCUCCCCUACGCCGCCCCCGCCGGCCAUCGAGGGCCGCGGGGUGGGAUUUUCGGUGACGACGAGGCGGGGGCUGGUGCUGCCGGUGCUCAAGGACUGCUCGCUGUGCGUCCCGCCGGGGCAGCUCUGGAUGCUCCUCGGCCCCAACGGCUGCGGCAAGUCCACCCUCCUCAAGGUUUUGGCAGGUUUUCAAAAUCCCUCUGCUGGUACAGUGCAUAUUAAUAGGCCAUUCAGCUAUGUCUUCCAAAAUCCUGAUCACCAGGUUGUGAUGCCCACUGUGGAAUCCGAUGUUGCAUUUGGUCCUGGUAAGCUCAAUCUUUCAUUGGAUGAGGUUAGGUCAAGAGUGUCACAAUCUCUGGAUGCAGUUGGAAUGUUGAGCUACUCUCAAAGGCCAAUCCAAACUCUGAGUGGUGGGCAGAAACAGAGAGUUGCCAUUGCUGGUGCUUUAGCUGAAGCAUCCAAAGUACUACUGCUGGAUGAGCUGACCACAUUCUUGGACGAAUAUGAUCAGAUGGGCGUGGUCAAGGCGGUGAGGAACUCUGUGACUGCUAGUGGGGAGGUUGCGGCACUGUGGGUGACCCAUCGGCUGGAAGAACUCAGAUACGCAGAUGGUGCUAUCUACAUGGAAGAUGGCCGGACGAUUAUUCAAGGCGACGUCUCCAGUAUAUCCAGGUUUAUAAAGAGGAAGCAAGCACGCUACUUCGGUCAUUUUGAGCUCUGA
rnacentral:rRNA from 1 species